CCUCAGUGACUUCUCUCCCCCUCCCCUUUCCAAGGCGCACCCUUUGUGCACCCAAAUGUCAGCUGGGCUUUGAAAAUGAUCUAGCGCUGCCUGUCAGCUCUCCCAGGUCCUCACCUUCACUCCUCACAGCACCCUCGGAGGUAGGUCUAGCCCCGCCCCCACUCCCCUUACGAUGAAUCAGAGGCACACAGUCUGCCUGUGGUCACUCGCCAGGGACUGGGUGUCAGCUGACAGUCCCCUCCAGAAUCCACAGGUUACCCUAGCUCAGAAAGCUGCUUAAUAGUCAUUAUUUAAUUUUAAACACUUCCUAGAUCAAAUUCCUUUUUUCUUUAACUUUUCCGAUUCUAAACAUAGAUUCAUUAGCUUACUAAUGCAUGUAAAGCACUUAGAAAAGGACCUGACACA